CUGCAUACACCGUCUCCGCCUACGGUCCACCGAGAACCCGGUCCACGAGGCCACGGCAGCCAUCCAUCUCUUCCUCUCUCUCUCUCUAUCUCUCUCCUCGUAGUGCUCUCGUGGAUUCCUCCCUCCCGACCGACUCCGAACCCAUCUCCUCGUCCUCCGCCCUCUCCUCGCCGCCGCCUCAGGCGGCCCCCGACGCCGCUGCAUUAUCCGGUGAGGUGCGGUCCUUGCCGGGUCUGUCCUCUCCGGGCUAGCUUCUCCCCGUGCCGCGCGCGCGCCACCGCGAUCGGAAGUUGUACAUCUAUUCAAGACGGCAAGUCAUUGGUAUUCGGGUUGCAAUCGAGUGGUUGGGGAAGCUGAUUGGUCAGAAGCAUUGUUGGUCAACCGAUGGGAAGCAAUGAUCCUAGCACACCUUCGAAGGCUUCAAAGGCAUCAGAACAAGAUCAACCUCCAGCAACUACAUCCGGCACAACAGCUUCAGUUUACCCUGAAUGGCCCAGCUUUCAGGCCUACCCAGCAAUUCCACCACACGGAUUCUUUCCCCCUCCUGUUGCUGCUAAUUCACAGGCUCAUCCCUACAUGUGGGGAGCUCAGCCCAUGGUGCCACCUUACGGGAUGCCACCACCACCUUAUGUGAUGUAUCCACCUGGAACAGUAUAUGCCCAUCCCUCUACACCUGCCGGUAUGCAUCCAUUUAAUCAUUAUCCUAUGCCAACAAAUGGAAAUGCUGAAACACCGGGAGCUGCGUCGAGUGGUCCAGAAAUGAACGGGAAAAGUGAGCCUGGCAGAUCUGGUCCAUCUGCCAAUGGGAUCAACUCCCACAGUGAGAGUGGAAGUGAGAGUGAGAGUGAAGGAAGUGAUGCCAAUUCCCAAAAUGUGAGAUUGAUAUCUAGUUCUUCUCUUUCUUAUCAUAACGCUUCUUUCAGACUCCUGAGUAAUUUUGGCAGGAUUCACAUUCAAAGGAAAAUGAUGGAAAGGAAGACGGUAGGCACCUUAGUACUUGUUUCUGAUUUCAUGAUAAAGACCAAUAGAAUUGCAUGUUUUUUUUUGUAUAAGAUGGAGGGUGUAUUCAAUCAAUAUGCAGGCAGUUCUCAGAAUGGCAUAUCUUAUUCAGCAUCACAGGGAAUGUUAAAUCAAACCAUGUCGAUGCUUCCAAUACAACCAGGUGCGAUGGUUGGAGUUCCUGGCUCCACAACUAACUUGAAUAUAGGAAUGGACUACUGGGCUGCUCCUGGUUCUGCUGCUGUCCCUGCAAUACAUGGCAAAGCAUCAGCUGGUUCAGCUCGUGGAGACCAAUGGGAUGAAAGGGAACUUAAGAAGCAGAAACGAAAGCAAUCUAAUCGAGAAUCAGCACGCAGGUCCCGGCUGCGCAAGCAGGCUGAAUGUGAAGAGCUUGGUCAACGUGCUGAAGCUUUGAGGUCGGAAAACUCUUCUCUUAGGGCUGAGCUUGAAAAGAUCAGAAAGGAAUACGAAAACCUACUUUCACAGAAUGCUUCUCUCAAGGCGAAGCUUGGGGGAACCAGUGAUUCGAUACCUGACAUGAAUGAAGAGAAUGAUCCUGAUGGCAGCCACAAGAAGCAACCUGAUUCUGACGCCCAGCCCGGGAAUGACUCUUGAGAGUUACUCACAAGCAACCUGUUCAGCUCAGGAUUCUUCCAAUACGGCAUUGCCAUUUAUUUGCUUCGUGCGACGACAUGCAUGUUACUGUGACCUAGGAUUAGUACCAUCGCAAAUCUGAGACUCGCAAACUUCGUGGAAUUAACGAAAUUUCAUUGGAGACGACAUGGAUAUGAAAAGAUUUGGCUUCCAAACGUGAUGGAUUUUUUCAGGGACCAAAAUUUCCAAACGAAACGAUGGCAGUAUCACCUCCAUCUCAUUCUUCCAUAUUAUGUUCACAAGCCAAAGAGCUGUUAUCG